rnacentral:tRNA from 1 species
GCGAUGGUAGUGUAGUGGUUAGCAUCCCGACUUCCCAAAAGGGUAAUAUUCCCUCGGAAUAGUCGGUGACCCGAGUUCGAAUCUCGGCCUUCGCA